rnacentral:rRNA from 1 species
GAUGAACGCUGGCGGCGUGCCUAAUACAUGCAAGUCGAGCGAACAGACGAGGAGCUUGCUCCUCUGACGUUAGCGGCGGACGGGUGAGUAACACGUGGAUAACCUACCUAUAAGACUGGGAUAACUUCGGGAAACCGGAGCUAAUACCGGAUAAUAUAUUGAACCGCAUGGUUCAAUAGUGAAAGACGGUUUUGCUGUCACUUAUAGAUGGAUCCGCGCCGCAUUAGCUAGUUGGUAAGGUAACGGCUUACCAAGGCGACGAUGCGUAGCCGACCUGAGAGGGUGAUCGGCCACACUGGAACUGAGACACGGUCCAGACUCCUACGGGAGGCAGCAGUAGGGAAUCUUCCGCAAAGGGCGAAAGCCUGUCGGAGCAACGCCGCGUGAGUGAUGAAGGUCUUCGGAUCGUAAAACUCUGUUAUUAGGGAAGAACAAAUGUGUAAGUAACUAUGCACGUCUUGACGGUACCUAAUCAGAAAGCCACGGCUAACUACGUG